rnacentral:rRNA from 1 species
UACGUAGGGUCCGAGCGUUGUCCGGAAUUAUUGGGCGUAAAGGGCUCGUAGGCGGUUCGUCACGUCGGGAGUGAAAACUCGGAGCUUAACUCCGAGCCUGCUUCCGAUACGGGCAGACUAGAGGUAGGCAGGGGAGAGCGGAACUCCUGGUGUAGCGGUGGAAUGCGCAGAUAUCAGGAAGAACACCGGUGGCGAAGGCGGCAUCCUGGACCAACACUGACGCUGAGGAGCGAAAGCCAGGGGAGCAAACGGG